rnacentral:rRNA from 1 species
UACAGAGGGUGCGAGCGUUGUCCGGAAUUACUGGGCGUAAAGCGUGCGUAGACGGUUACAUAAGUCGGGUGUGAAAGCCCCGGGCUCAACCUGGGAAUUGCAUUCGAGACUGCGUAGCUAGGGUGCGGAAGAGGGAAGCGGAAUUUCCGGUGUAGCGGUGAAAUGCGUAGAUAUCGGAAGGAACACCAGUGGCGAAAGCGGCUCCUGGUCCAGCACCGACGUCAGGCACGAAAGCGUGGGGAGCAAACAGG